UCCUAUCCCUCCGCUUGCGCAAGCGUUUUCCUUCUGUUUUGCAUGUUUUGUUUUGUUAUCGUGCUUCGCAUUUUCCGUUUCGAUUUGUUUUGUUUCCGCAUUUUGUCUGUCCGCUCUCACACACCCGCAAAAGAAAGCAAUCCGCCGUUCGUUGCUGUCAAAAAAGCACGCAAAAUCGUUCGCGGCCCCCGCAGCUAGGAAGAAAGAAGAGGAGAAAAUCGAGGAAACUCAACCGAACGACGACGACGGACGAUUUUAGUGUUGAGCUCUGCUGAUUGUGUGUGAUGAUGAACCGCGCUCGCUGAAAGUGUUGUUCGGGAAGUGAAAAAUUUGCAGUAAUUUUCUUUUCUCCGGAUCGGAAGUGUGCGCACGGAGUUCGGGUGAUUCGCGAUUCGCAGCGGAUAUUGGAAUAUUGCAUCGGCAAGUGGCCCCGGAAGAGUCUGAAAAGUCGAACGCCCGUGAUUUGUCAAAAGUUGUGUUCUUUCGUGUGUGAGGCAGCAAGGUCUUGCUCGUGACUGCCGAAAUCUAACGGGGUUCUUUCCGCUGCUGAGAGACCUACUUUUCGUCUUGCCGUGCCGUGUUGAAAUUAUUCGCUGAACACAUCGCUCGCACCUCGAUUCAACCCCUGGAUCCGCCUACGAGAAAACACACCGAGUGUACAGAGUGUAAGCAGUCGAGAAAAAAAAGAGUGAAGAAGCCGUAACUCGCGCGCAGGAGGGUGCUUCCGCGGAAAAAGUGGACCCCUUUAUUUGGUAGUGGAAAUUUUUGAUUCGCGGUUGCGGUCGUCGCGGUGGUGCUCUUGCUCACAAAAGUCGCUGGCUGGUGAAACAAACCGAAAAUUAGUGACGGUGAUCUAAGCGUGAAGGAAUUGCAGUGUGUCUCUGUGAAAGUGCGCGUGUGUAGGUACGUUGAGAAGAAUAUUCCUGGUGAAAUUGCCGGAAACCGAGCGGAGUCUGCCCACACGUGUCGAACCUAUUCGAUCAUCACCAUCCACAUCUCACGAACCUUUAGUGACGGGAAGCUUCUCCGUGGGGUACGCAAUACCUCUGCGGAGCCGGGAGCUGACCACACGAAACGGACGUCAAGCUGGAUAACUCAAUCGUAAACCGGUACCUUAGCGUGGCUGAUGACGAGUUCGUCUGGGCGGUAGAUCAGGACGUCCGGGAGUUCAUCGAGAAGGCGAAUCAGAAGAGCGUGCUAAUCUUCCCACCGGUAAACAACUAUCGGCGCUUCCUGAUCCACAAGGUGUGCGAAAGUCUCGCCGCGGACCAUGAGUUGGUAACGUUCUCGAUUGGGGUCGGCAGCGAGCGGCGCACGGUGGUCUGCUAUCGUCAUCAACUGCUGCGGGACGUCAAGGCGACCUCAACCAAAAGGUGAGUCACAUUUUCGAAUGAUGAGCGAGCGGGACGGUUCGUUCUGCCCUGUAUGAGA